CUCGAUCAUUGCUGCUACCUUGACGUGGUGGUCGAGCUUGCCUAUCGUAAUGAACCACUCGAGUUAUACUGGCUGGAACAAUCGUUCUUGUAGUUCUACUAUAUCGGGCAUGUUGGUUGGAGAGCGGUAAGACUAAAAGCAGC
rnacentral:ribozyme from 1 species